rnacentral:rRNA from 1 species
UACGUAGGGGGCGAGCGUUGUCCGGAUUUAUUGGGCGUAAAGAGCGUGUAGGCGGCCAGGUAGGUCUGCUGUGAAAACUCGAGGCUCAACCUCGAGACGUCGGCGGAAACCAUCUGGCUAGAGUCCGGAAGAGGAGAGUGGAAUUCCUGGUGUAGCGGUGAAAUGCGCAGAUAUCGGGAGGAACACCAAUGGCGAAGGCGGCCGCCUGGGCCAGUCCUGACGCUGAGCCGCGAAAGCGUGGGGAGCGAUCCGG